rnacentral:lncRNA from 1 species
UCUUUUUGAAAAAAAGGAUAGAAUUUAUAGAAUUCUAAGGCCCCGUUUGGUUGGGGGAUAAGCGGGAAUAACGAAAGUUAUCCCCGCUAUUCCGCCAAACGGGAUAAAAUUUAGCCGAAAUAUUUUAUCCCAGUCAAACCUUGCUAUUCCCGGUUAUCCCGGAAUAGCAAGGAAUUUGCUAUUCCACCAUUUUGGUGGAAUAGCACUAUUCCAAUGCUUAAUUUCAAACUUAAUUACAAUUAUAAAUUGAAUUAAAACUAAAUUAUAUAAAUAUAAUAUGUUAUAUAUUAUAAUACAAUAUUUUUAUUAUUUUUAUUAAUUGUUUCCAUCCCUAUUCUUAUUUUAAAAAUUUUAAAAUUAAAAAUUUAAAUUGUUAAAAUUUAUAAUUUAUAAUCUCAAAAUUAAAGUUUAUAAUUUUAAAUUUUAAAUUUUAAAAUUAAAUUUUGAUAUUUUAAUUUUGAAAUUUAAAAUUUUAUAUUUUAUAUUUUUCAAAUUUAAAUUUGAUCUUAAAUUUAAAGUUUGAAAUUUAAAAUUUAAAAUUUUGAAAAUUCAAAGUUAAAAUUUUAAAUUUAAAAAUAUAUAUUUAAAAUUUUAAAAAUUUAAAUUUAAAUAUAAUAAGAGAAUAAUAUAAUUAUUUUUUAUUUAUAAAACCCACUAUCUUUCUUAUUCCAUUUUACCUAACAAAACGCUAUUUUUUUUAUUCCCAGGAAUAAUUUAAUUUUUAUCCAAAUGCAAAAUUGGUCUAAUCCCCGCUUAUACCUUAAUUUAUACCUAUCCCUGAAAUAGUCACUUUUUUCUUAUCCUCAAACAAAACGAUACCUUAAAAGUAUAAAAUUAAUAGGUUUUCGAAACUAGAG